UCCCUGGUGGUCCAGUGGUUAGGACACGGCACUUUCACUGCUGUGGCCCGGGUUCAAUCCCUGGUCAGGGAA
rnacentral:tRNA from 1 species